rnacentral:rRNA from 1 species
UACGUAGGGGGCAAGCGUUGUCCGGAUUUAUUGGGCGUAAAGAGCGUGUAGGCGGCCAUGUAGGUCCGUUGUGAAAACUCGAGGCUUAACCUCGAGCUGUCGGCGGAAACCAUCUGGCUAGAGUCCGGAAGAGGAGAAUGGAAUUCCCGGUGUAGCGGUGAAAUGCGCAGAUAUCGGGAGGAACACCAGUGGCGAAGGCGACUACCUGGCCUGUUCUUGACGCUGAGGCGCGAAAGCUAGGGGAGCAAACGGG